ACGGCUCUUCGGAGCAGUGGCGGACGGGUGAGUAACGCGUGGGAACGUGCCCUUUGGUUCGGAACAACACAGGGAAACUUGUGCUAAUACCGAAUGUGCCCUUCGGGGGAAAGAUUUAUCGCCAUUGGAGCGGCCCGCGUUGGAUUAGCUAGUUGGUGGGGUAAAGGCCCACCAAGGCGACGAUCCAUAGCUGGUCUGAGAGGAUGAUCAGCCACACUGGGACUGAGACACGGCCCAGACUCCUACGGGAGGCAGCAGUAGGGAAUCUUGCGCAAUGGGCGAAAGCCUGACGCAGCCAUGCCGCGUGAAUGAUGAAGGUCUUAGGAUUGUAAAAUUCUUUCACCGGGGAAGAUAAUGACGGUACCCGGAGAAGAAGCCCCGGCUAACUUCGUGCCAGCAGCCGCGGUAAUACGAAGGGGGCUAGCGUUGCUCGGAAUUACUGGGCGUAAAGGGCGCGUAGGCGGACAGUUUAGUCAGAGGUGAAAGCCCAGGGCUCAACCUUGGAAUUGCCUUUGAUACUGGCUGUCUUGAGUUCGGGAGAGGUGAGUGGAAUGCCGAGUGUAGAGGUGAAAUUCGUAGAUAUUCGGCGGAACACCAGUGGCGAAGGCGAC
rnacentral:rRNA from 1 species